CCUACGGGAGGCAGCAGUGGGGAAUAUUGGACAAUGGGGGGAACCCUGAUCCAGCGACGCCGCGUGAGUGAAGAAGUAUUUCGGUAUGUAAAGCUCUAUCAGCAGGGAAGCAAAUGACGGUACCUGACUAAGAAGCCCCGGCUAACUACGUGCCACCAGCCGCGGUAAUACGUCGGGGGCACGCGUUAUCCGGGAUUACUGGGUGUAAAGGGGGCGUAGUCGGUGCAGCAAGUCUGAUGGGAAAGGUCGGGGCCCAAACCCGGGACUGCAGUGGAAACUGUUUAACUUGAGUACAGGAGAGGUAAGCGGAAUUCGUGGUGUAGCGGUGAAAUGCAGAGAUAUUAGGAGGAACACCAGUGGCGAAGGCGGCAUACUGGACUGUAACUGACGUUGAGGCACGAAAGCGUGGGGAGCAAACAGGAUUAGAUACCCGUGUAGUC
rnacentral:rRNA from 1 species